UCUGAUCAAAUUUAAAGUCCAGGCCUGGAUCACAAACCCUAUGAAUUUUGAUUAUGAACCACCUGUCAUUGGCAGGGACAAAGGAGUUGGCUAUCUGCAUAAAACAUUCCAAGAUAUGGAAAGACAGAAGCAGAAACCUCCUUCUAUGGUCGGUGUGUUGAUAAAUUAUUCCUUAUCAAGGCCGUAACUCAGUGUUCUAGUCUGGAGUUUCUGGAAGGCACCCCAAGCCCCUUCAGCAAGGUGAAAUAAAAGCUGUGUGAAAUCGA